UCAGUCUCCAGCAGAGGCAUUGCAGAUGUGGCUGCUGUACCACAUAUGGGUCAGUAGGUGGCAGAGCAGAGAGAGGCCAUGUCUACACUCAGUAUUCUGACCUGGGACCGUCUAUCUGAAUGAUUAGUAGCCUAACAUU
rfam:Mus musculus chromosome 18, GRC primary reference assembly.